CAGUAGCCACGGUAAUACGGAGGGGGCUAGCGUUGUUCGGAAUUACUGGGCGUAAAGCGCACGUAGGCGGCUUGGUAAGUUAGAGGUGAAAGCCCGGAGCUCAACUCCGGAAUUGCCUUUAAGACUGCCGAGCUAGCAGGUGAGAGAGGUAAGUGGAAUUCCGAGUGUAGAGGUGAAAUUCGUAGAUAUUCGGAAGAACACCAGUGGCGAAGGCGGCUUACUGGCUCAUACUGGACGCUGAGGUGCGAAAGCGUGGGGAGCAAACAGGAUUAGAUACCCGGGUAGUCCCUGUCUCUUAUAC
rnacentral:rRNA from 1 species